AAAGGGCAUCGCAGAAGCCCUUGAAUGGGACAAGAAAGUCGACAGGAACAGGUAACCUCGCUCUAAAAAUGUCCUGAGUGAAAAGGUGAGGAGGGAACAGGCCCGAAUAGUGUUGCCGCUGCUGCUGCUAAGUCGCUUCAGUCGUGUCCGACUCUGUUCGACCCCAUAGAUGGCAGCCCACCAGGCUCCCCCGUCCCUGGGAUUCUCCAGGCAAGAACACUGGAGUGGGUUGCCAUUUCCUUCUCCAAUGCAUGAAAGUAAAAAGUGAAAGGGAAGUCACUCAGUCGUGUCCGACUCCAAGCGACCCCAUGGACUGCAGCCUACCAGGCUCCUCCGUCCAUGGGAUUUGCCAGGCAAGAGUACUGGAGUGGGGUGCCAUUGCCUUCUCCGCCGAAGAGUGUUAGGAGAAACCAAAGUGGCCUAAAAAGGAGACCAGCGCGAGCCCGUGAGCAGUUUCACUUCCGCAGGGAGCCCAGCGCGGCGAGCCCUCGCCCUGCGGCCCGCGCCCAGGGGCUGCGUUUCCGGGACCUCGGCCGCAGCCGCCGCGGUGGGAAGCGGGCUGAGGACAGCGAGGCUUGGAGACCAGGUCGAGGAGAACCUCAGAUCGAGAGAGUCCGGGCUCCGCGGGCACGCGUCCAGGCGCCUGGGCUUCAGCGGCCGCGAUGCUGCCAGCAGCGCCAGCCUGGGCGCGCGGGAGUUGCGAGCAGCCUGCAGGCGGCCCAGCGCCCCCAGAAAAUGCAAAAGACAUCAUCGUGAUAUAUGAAGGAGAUGCUGAGGAAUGGGCUCUGUACUUGAGCGAAGUUUUCUCACAUGUUGUGAAAAUGGAAGCAACCCUUUUAUAUUGCCUGGAGAAUUGCUCUCUUCGGGAUUUGGACUUGCUGAAUUUAAGCUCCUACAAGUGUAAACUUUUGAUAUUAUCAAAUAGCCUGCUUGAAAACCUAUCUCCAAAGAAAGGUCAAUUUCUGAAAAACAUACUUUUUUCACCAGAAAGUGUGGUCACUCUGCUGUGUGGGAUGAAGAGUUCAGAUCAAUUCUACAAAUUAUUAAAUAUCUCUAGAAGCAGAUGGGAGAUCUCAACGGAGCAGGGGCCUGAAGAAUACAUCUCUGUAAUUGAGAGUAUCAUAUUUGGAGGUUCUGCGGACUACCUGGAGAUCACUGUGCCACCAGACCUAAGAAAGGAACAAUCCGGGCAAACCAAUGAGAGAAAGGAAGCUGGAGAGUUCUUAGAAGCUUCAGGAAGCACCAUACCACAGGCAGUGGUGCUUCCUGCUGAGAUUCCAUGUGAGAAUCCUGGUGAAAUAUUUAUUAUUUUGAGAGAUGAAGUAACCAGUGAUGCUGUGGAGGUUGAAUUUACAUCAAAUAGUAAAUGCAUUAGAACACAGCCAGCCCUCUGGAAUAAAAGUGUCUGGAGUAUGAAAGCUUUAGAUUUUCCUGCUGGCUCUGUCAAUGUUGAUGUCUACGUUGAUGGAAUCAUUAAGGCCACAGCAGAGAUUAAGUACUAUACAACCCAGAAGGCUAUGAAAUGCCUGUUGGGAGCUGCAGGUCCACGAGAUGAUGUGUACCAGAGUGACAUCGACAAACUUGAUGAUAUUCUCACAUCCACAUUCAAACAUGAGAUACCAUACUAUGAAUUCCAAUCUCUCCAAACUGAAAUCUGCCCUCAAAAGGAACAUUCUUAUUUCAAAGAACUUCCAACUCUUCUCCACUGUGCAGCAAAAUUUGGGUUAAAGAACUUGGCUGUUCAUUUGCUUCAAUGUUCAGGAGCAACCAGGGCAUCUAAGAUAAAAAAUUUGGAAGGUUCAGAUCCAGCACAUAUUGCUGAGAGGCAUGGUCACAAAGAACUCAAGAAAAUCUUUGAAGACUUUUCAAUCCAAGAAGUUAGCAGAGAUAAUGAGCAAGAAAAUCAUUAUGAAGAGAGUAUCACCUCAUUUUCUACAUGUUCUCCUACCGUACAGAGCCCAGCUCUCCACCAUAAAAGCUGGCCUUACAGGCAGAAGGCAGAAGAAGCCAAAGGGAAUGAAAUGGCAGAGGAAGAAAAAGAGCAUGAAUCAGGCAUGGAGGCAGAGCACAGCCCUCCAGAGGUUGACAGUGAAAGUGAGAACCAGUACGAUGACUUGUAUGUGUUCAUUCCUGGAGACAACCCUGAAGAUAAUUCCCAAGAGCCCCUCGUGUGCCCCAGACCACCUCUCCCCCCACCACGACCUGUAACCACUGCCUUCCAACCAGAAAAACCUCACUUCCCAGUACAAGCAGGGAAAUUGCUGGAAGGCCAAAUGGAGAGAAGUCAAAGUUGGUGUGAUUUCAGUGCAAGAUAUGAAACAGGAAGUGAUUCUGAAGAAGAAAAGAAAGAAGAUGAAAAGGGCCGGGAAGAGGAGGAAGACCCAUACACUUUCGCUGAGAUUGAUGACAGUGAAUAUGACACAAUACUGGCCAGCAGGAGUAUAAAGAAAAAAGCUGGAAGUCGCUCAUUCAUUAUGAACAGACCUCCUGCCCCCACACCACGGCCCACAAGUAUCCCUCCGAAAGAGGAAACUACACCUUACAUAGCGCAAGUGUUUCAACAAAAGGCUGCCAGAAGACAAUCUGAUAGUGACAAGUUCCAUGGUCCUAAGAAACAAGACAGAGGUCGGAUGGAGAGUCAGACCUUCUCCACCGUAAGGAACUGCCUUGCUGCGGGACAGGAGGAACUCAUCCUGCUGCAAGAGAAAGUCAAGAAUGGGAAACUCUCUAUGGACGAAGCCCUGGAGAAGUUUAAACACUGGCAGAUGGGAAAGACUGGCCUGGAGAUAAUUCAGCAGGAAAAACUACGCCAACUACGAGAUUGCAUUGUUGGAAAAAGGCCAGAAGAAGAAAAUGUCUACAAUAAGCUCACCAUUGUGCACCAUCCAAAUGGUAACGAAAGUGCCCACAGUGAAAGUAUGUUACAUAACAUACCCUUUGGCAGUAAGCUUCCUGCUCGACCCCAGGUGGAAAAAGAUUUUAGUUUCUGUUGCAGGAAAGAUCACUAAAGAUG
rnacentral:lncRNA from 1 species